ensembl:lncRNA TEX41 testis expressed 41
CACCGCAAGGACUGGAGAAGGGCUUCUGUGCAGCUGCAGAAUAAAAGGCCGGGCAUGUGCCCCACUGGAAGUGUCUGGAAUCCAUGGCUUCAAUAGACCUUUGACGAGUGGGAAGUUGGAACCAUGAUGAAAUACUGCCCUCUAGACUGAUCUCAGGAGGACAAUUCUGGGCGCCCAUUGCUAGUUGCUUCCUGGAGGAAUUUCCCAAAAUAAAAGUGCCUAUCCACAAAUCCUUCUCCUGAGGCUGCUUUUUUGGAGAAUUCAAGUUAAGGAAGAUUUCUAUUGGAUCAGUAUAUGUUUGUAUGGAUUUUAAUCCCUAUUGCUGGUGCACUUCACUUGGGCUUGGAAGCUUUUUUCCCAUUUUCGUAGUAAUGAUCCAUAAAUACUUUGAAUAGUAUGUACACAUAGAUAUUUCUCUUUUUAUUGGGAAAAAAGAAAGUAUUUUUCUUGCUGUUCCUGCAACUCAUUAAUCACAAUGCUAUAUAUGCUAUUAAUUAUGCUUAAAUGUAGUUUGCUUGUUUAAUUUGUGAACCUCCAAUAACUCAAGACUUUCAAAUUAUUUGUCUUCCAUGUUGACAUUUUGAUUACUAAAACAUUCCUAAAGCUAGAAGAAGGACUAAUAAUGUAGGAUUAAAACUAUGAAUCACCUUUUGAUUAAACACUCAGCAAUCUUUGUUGCUAAAUCUUCACUCAGAGACUAACUCUAAGUCUCAUUUGAACUUAUAGAUGUUAAUUCCAUAUUGAUCACCAUAGCCUGGUAGAUGCAAUGCAUAUUCACUCAGCUCAUAGUUUUAAUUUAAAGUGGA